GUAGCAUACAUUGCUUUCUUUAUGAACGACAACGAACAAGAAAAUAUAAAACAUUUGCCAAUCGCUCGAACACUUUUAGUUGAACUGGACGGGCUGAUAUGUUCACAUCGUACAGCUGACAACAUUGUUGACUGACAAACUACAACCAAAUUAAAUCGUUUCUUCAAAAAUAUCGCGAAAAACAACAACAAUAGCA